GAAUCAGACAGGUGAAAAUCACAAUUGAAAGGAAGCCUAAAACCACAACGACAGAAAUGCAUUUUAGGACAGAAAAUAAUACAAAUGAAUCCGUAGUAGAUAAUUUGGUAAAAGCGUUUGCCCCUUUUCAUCGCCUGCAAUCUUAUCUAGGAAUAACCCGUGUGAAUAUAAGAAAUAAGUUGGUGACACCCCUAACGAUGUCACAAAAACUUUACACGUGUGCAUUUUUUAUGACAGCCUCAAUUUUCUUGAUUUUCAUGAUGCUCCUUUAUAUAAAUAGAUACAGUAAUGACAUGAUAUUAGUAAAAGUUAUAAUAAUUGGGGGGUUCGGCGUGUGGAUGUCAUUGGUAUGCACCAUAACAAACUUAAGAUUUAUCAACAAUGAUGGUAACGUUAAUUUCUAUGUAAAAAUUCACCAAAUAGACCGCCUCCUAAGGACCGAUAAAAAUGAAUUCAUGACUUCUGUUCUGUUUAAUAAUAACAGAAAUACCAUGCUGGUGUUACUCGUAGCGUACAUUGUGUUAUUUGGGUUAAUCAUAUUAUUCAACGAAUUUGUGAUAAUAUUAACUACCGUUGGUAUCUGUUAUGUUCAACUCACGUACAUGGUGGAAUUUCUAUAUUUUUCUAGUAUAAUGUAUUACUUCUGUCAGCGAAUAAAGUAUUUAAACGCAAUCAUUUAAAAUCACCUUGAACCCGAGUUCGUACGUGUUAAUUUUGCAAACAAACUUAGGAUAUCCGAUGAGAUGCUAAUGAGACGGUCGGCUGCGGAUGCUCACGACUUUGUGUACAGCGAUGUUGACAAUUAUGUUAAAGAACUAAUAUGUUGCUUCUACAAAUUUCAAAAUAUUUUUCAAUAUCAGGCAUGUAUGAUGUUUAUUCAUAAAAUCUCAAUAUACUUAGUAAAAACAUCUAAAUAAUAUAUAGUAAUAAAUUUUAAAAAUCGUUCUUAUUUAAAGUGUAAUUGUAUGUUUUCCAGAUACUAAUUUUUUCCCUGAGGCUGUUUUUUGGCUGUAUGUGCUAUAUAGAAUUUAUUGUGGUUUCGUUAAAAGAUCGCACUUUCCGCAUAACUGAUGAUUAUAUUAUGAUAUUUUUGCUGAUCAUUGACGUCUUGCUUUUAAGUCUUGCGUGCGUUCGAUGCGAAACAUUUUUCAGAGAAGCAAAGCUAACAAAACGUCUGUCCCUUUCGAUCUUAGCCAUUUACAAAGACGGCCUGUUGCGAGGGAGAGCAAAUAGAAUAUUGAAGAUACUGGAAGAACAUCCACCGAUCUUCUCUGUGUAUCACAUGUGGAAUCUAAAAGCCAGCACCUUGAUCCAACUCAUCAGCAUUCUGACAACGAUAUUUUUCAAUAUUUUAACUCUUAAUUAUUU